rnacentral:rRNA from 1 species
GAUGAACGCUGGCGGCGUGCCUAAUACAUGCAAGUCGAGCGAACGGACGAGAAGCUUGCUUCUCUGAUGUUAGCGGCGGACGGGUGAGUAACACGUGGAUAACCUACCUAUAAGACUGGGAUAACUUCGGGAAACCGUAGCUAAUACCGGAUAAUAUUUUGAACCGCAUGGUUCAAAAGUGAAAGACGGUCUUGCCGUCACUUAUAGAUGGAUCCGCGCUGCAUUAGCUAGUUGGUAAGGUAACGGCUUACCAAGGCAACGAUGCAUAGCCGACCUGGGAGGGUGAUCGGCCACACUGGAACUGAGACACGGUCCAGACUCCUACGGGAGGCAGCAGUAGGGAAUCUUCCGCAAUGGGCGAAAGCCUGACGGAGCAACGCCGCGUGAGUGAUGAAGGUCUUCGGAUCGUAAAACUCUGUUAUUAGGGAAGAACAUAUGUGUAAGUAACUGUGCACAUCUUGACGGUACCUAAUCAGAAAGCCACGGCUAACUACGUG